GACGAACGCUGGCGGCGUGCUUAACACAUGCAAGUCGAACGGAAAGGCCUCUUUCGGGGGGUACUCGCGUGGCGAACGGGUGAGUAACACGUAAGUAACUUGCCUUUCACUUUGGGUUAACUUCAUGAAACUGGGCCUAAUACCGGAUAGAAGCUCCUGUGCCAUGGGGGGGUUUGUAAAGUUUCGCGGUUUGGGGGUGGACUCGCGGUUUAUCAGCUUGUUGUUGGGGUGGUGGCUUACCAAGGCUUUGACGGGUAGCCGGACUGAGAGGGUGAUCGGCGACACUGGGACUGAGAUACGGCACAGACUCCUACGGGAGGCAGAAGUGGGGAAGAUUGAACAAGGGGUGGAAGGCUGAUGCAGCAACGCCGUGUGCGGGAGGACGGCCUUCGGGUUGUAAAACGCUUUCGCUCAUGACGAAGCUUUGUGUGACGGUAGUGGGUAAAGAAGCACCGGCUAACUACGUG
rnacentral:rRNA from 1 species